UACGUAGGGCGCAAGCGUUGUCCGGAAUUAUUGGGCGUAAAGAGCUCGUAGGCGGUCUGUCGCGUCUGUUGUGAAAACUCGAGGCUCAACCUCGGGCUUGCAGUGGAUACGGGCAGACUAGAGUGCGGUAGGGGAGACUGGAAUUCCUGGUGUAGCGGUGGAAUGCGCAGAUAUCAGGAGGAACACCGAUGGCGAAGGCAGGUCUCUGGGCCAUAACUGACGCUGAGAAGCGAAAAGCAUGGGGAGCGAACAGG
rnacentral:rRNA from 1 species